rnacentral:rRNA from 1 species
UACGUAGGCAGCGAGCGUUGUUCGGAGUUACUGGGCGUAAAGGGUGUGUAGGCGGUUGUUUAAGUUUGGGGUGAAAUCUCCCGGCUCAACUGGGAGGGUGCGCCGAAUACUGAAUGACUCGAGUGUGGGAGAGGUGAGUGGAAUUCCUGGUGUAGCGGUGAAAUGCGUAGAUAUCAGGAGGAACACCGGUGGUGUAGACGGCUCACUGGGCCAUUACUGACGCUGAGGAGCGAAAGCGUGGGGAGCGAACAGG